rnacentral:rRNA from 1 species
AUUGAACGCUGGCGGCAUGCUUUACACAUGCAAGUCGAACGGCAGCGCGGGCUUCGGCCUGGCGGCGAGUGGCGAGCGGGUGAGUAAUGCAUCGGAACGUGCCCAGUAGUGGGGGAUAGCCCGGCGAAAGCCGGAUUAAUACCGCAUACGACCUGAGGGUGAAAGCGGGGGACCGAAAGGCCUCGCGCUAUUGGAGCGGCCGAUGUCGGAUUAGCUAGUUGGUGGGGUAAAGGCUUACCAAGGCGACGAUCCGUAGCUGGUCUGAGAGGACGACCAGCCACACUGGGACUGAGACACGGGCCAGACUCCCAAGGGGGGGCGCGGGUGGGAAUUUUGGGAAAUGGGGGGAAACCUGACCCAGCCACGGCGGGGGGGGGAAGAAGGGCUUCGGGGUGUAAAACCGUUUUUUUAGGGAAAAAAAACUUUGGGGGUAACUCCCCGGGGGGUGACGGUACCCGAAAAAAAAGCCACGGCUAACUACGUG